rnacentral:misc_RNA from 1 species
GAUGAAGAACGUAGCGAAAUGCGAUAAGUAAUGUGAAUUGCAGAAUUCAGUGAAUCAUCGAAUCUUUGAACGCACAUUGCGCCCCUUGGUAUUCCGGGGGGCAUGCCUGUUCGAGCGUCAUUUCAACCCUCAAGCUCUGCUUGGUAUUGAGUCCAUGUCAGCAAUGGCAGGCUCCAAAAUCAGUGGCGGCGCCGCUGGGUCCUGAACGUAGUAAUAUCUCUCGUUACAGGUGCUCGGCGUGCUUCUGCCAAAACCCCAAUUUUUCUAUGGUUGACCUCGGAUCAGGUAGGGAUACCCGCUGAACUUAAGCAUAUCAAUAAGCGGAGGA